ensembl:lncRNA RTCA-AS1 RTCA antisense RNA 1
GGCUUAAAGGAGCCGCGCUGGGAACACUGCGGUCGGGGCGAGGAAGCUGCCGGGGAAGUGAGAUGACGGUCGCGGGGGUGCCCAGGAGCCCUGAAAAACUUGUGCCCUGGGCACGGCAAAAUCUGCAGGUUGCAGAAAGUCUCAACUGAUCCUGGCAUACCCCGAGGUGCCGACUUUUAGAGCUGAAGAUGCAAGAAAGAUUGGGAUCCUGCGAUGCACCGAACCUGUCUCUCGAACUUCCUGUGUUAAACAAUUUGCUACAAGGUCACACAAUUUUAACUAGAAGACUGAGAUGUGAACCUGGGUGGUCUGAUGUGAACACCACUGUCUGAUGGUAGAAGUCCUAGACAGAUUUUACAAGAAAGAAAAAAGACAUAAGAUAGGACAGGCAAAAACAACACCUUAAUUUUGAUAUCAUCUUAAUGAUGAGACUGUCUACAUAGAAAACCCAAAAGGAAUCUAGAAGAAAUGGAUAAAUUCCUCGACACAUACACUCUCCCAAGACUAAACCAGGAAGAAGUUGAAUCUCUGAAUAGACCAAUAACAGGCUCUGAAAUUGAGGCAAUAAUUAAUAGCUUACCAACCAAAAAGAGUCCAGGACCAGAUGGAUUCACAGCCGAAUUCUACCAGAGGUACAAGGAGGACCUGGUACCAUUCCUUCUGAAACUAUUCCAAUCAAUAGAAAAAGAGGGAAUCCUCCCUAACUCAUUUUAUGAGGCCAGCAUCAUCCUGAUACCAAAGCCUGGCAGAGACACAACAAAAAAAGAGAACUUUAGACCAAUAUCCUUGAUGAACAUUGACGCAAAAAUCCUCAAUAAAAUACCGGCAAACCGAAUCCAGCGGCACAUCAAAAAGCUUAUCCACCAUGAUCAAGUGAGCUUCAUCCCUGGGAUACAAGGCUGGUUCAACAUACGAAAAUCAAUAAACGUAAUCCAGCAUAUAAACAGAACCAAAGACAAAAACCACAUGAUUAUCUCAAUAGAUGCAGAAAAGGCCUUUGACAAAAUUCAACAACUCUUCAUGCUAAAAACUCUCAAUAAAUUAGGUAUUGAUGGGACGUAUUUCAAAAUAAUAAGAGCUAUCUAUGACAAACCCACAGCCAAUAUCAUACUGAAUGGGCAAAAACUGGAAGCAUUCCCUUUGAAAACUGGCACAAGACAGGGAUGCCCUCUCUCAUCACUCCUAUUCAACAUAGUGUUGGAAGUUCUGGCCAGGGCAAUCAGGCAGCAGAAGGAAAUAAAGGGCAUUCAAUUAGGAAAAGAGGAAGUCAAAUUGUCCCUGUUUGCAGAUGACAUGAUUGUAUAUCUAGAAAACCCUAUAGUCUCAACCCAAAAUCUCCUUAAGCUGAUAAGCAACUUCAGCAAAGUCUCAGGAUACAAAAUCAAUGUGCAAACAUCACAAGCAUUCUUACACACCAAUAACAGACAAACAGAGAGCCAAAUCAUGAGGGAACUCCCAUUCACAAUUGCUUCAAAAAGAAUAAAAUACCUAGGAAUCCAACUUACAAGGGAUGUGAAGGACCUUUUCAAGAACUACAAACCACUGCUCAAUGAAAUAAAAGAGGAUACAAACAAAUGGAAGAACAUUCCAAGCUCAUGGGUAGGAAGAAUCAAUAUCGUGAAAAUGGCCACACUGCCCAAGGUAAUUUAUAGAUUCAAUGCCAUCCCCAUCAAACUACCAAUGCCUUUCUUCACAGAAUUGGAAAAAAACUACUUUAAAGUUCAUAUGGAACCAAAAAAGAGCCCACAUUGCCAAGUCAAUCCUAAACCAAAAGAACAAAGCUGGAGGCAUCACGCUACCUGACUUCAAACUAUAUUACAAGGCUACAGUAACCAAAACAGCAUGGUACUGGUACCAAAACAGAGAUAUAGACCAAUGGAACAGAACAGAGCCCUCAGAAAUAAUGCCGCAUAUCUACAACUAUCCAAUCUUUGACAAACCUGAGUAAAACAAGCAAUGGGGAAAGGAUUCCCUAUUUAAUAAAUGGUGCUGGGAAAACUGGCUAGCCAUAUGGAGAAAGCUGAAACUGGAUCCCUUCCUUACACCUUAUACAAAAAUUAAUUCAAAUGGAUUAAAGACUUACAUGUUAGACCUAAAACCAUAAAAACCUAGAAGAAAACCUAGGCAAUACCAUUCAGGACAUAGGCAUGGGCAAGGACUUCAUGUCUAAAACACCAAAAGCAAUGGCAACAAAAGCUAAAAUUGACAAGUGGGAUCUAAUUAAACUAAAGAGCUUCUGCACAGCAAAAGAAACCACCAUCAGAGUGAACAGGCAACCUACAGAAUGGGAGAAAAUUUUUGCAACCUACUCAUCUGACAAAGGGCUAAUAUCCAGAAUCUACAAUGAACUCAAACAAAUUUUAAGAAAAAAACAAACAACCCCAUCAAAAAGUGGGUGAAGGAUAUGAACAGACACUUCUCAAAAGAAGAUAUUUAUGCAGCCAAAAAACACAUGGAAAAAUGCUCAUCAUCACUGGCCAUCAGAGAAAUGCAGAUCAAAACCACAAUGAGAUACCAUCUCACACCAGUUAAAAUGGCAAUCAUUAAAAAGUCAGGAAACAACAGGUGCUGGAGAGGAUGUGGAGAUAUAGGAACACUUUUACACUGUUGGUGGGAGUGUAAACUAGUUCAACCAUUGUGGAAGUCAGUGUGGCGAUUCCUCAGGGAUCUAGAACUAGAAAUACCAUUUGACCCAGCCAUCCCAUUACUGGGUAUAUACCCAAAGGAUUAUAAAUCAUGCUGCUAUAAAGACAUAUGUACAUGUGUGUUUAUUGCAGCACUAUUCACAAUAGCAAAGACUUGGAACCAACCGAAAUGUCCGACAAUGAUAGACUGGAUUAAGAAAAUGUGGCACAUGUGCACCAUGGAAUACUAUGCAGCCAUAAAAAAUGAUGAGUUCAUGUCCUUUGUAAGGACGUGGAUGAAGCUGGAAACCGUCAUUCUCAGCAAACUAUCGCAAGGACAAAAAACCAAACACUGCAUGUUCUCACUCAUAGGUGGGAAUUGAACAAUGAGAACACAUGGACACAGGAAGGGGAACAUCACAUACUGGGGACUGUUGUGGGGUGCGGGGAGUGGGGAGGGAUAGCAUUAGGAGAUAUACCUAAUGCUAAAUGACUAGUUAAUGGGUGCAGCACACCAACAUGACACAUGUAUACAUAUGUAACAAACCUGCACGGUGUGCACAUGUACCC